rnacentral:rRNA from 1 species
UUGGUCAUUUAGAGGAAGUAAAAGUCGUAACAAGGUCUCCGUAGGUGAACCUGCGGAGGGAUCAUUAACGAGUUUUGAAAUGGGUUGUAGCUGGCCUCAAUGAAAGGCAUGUGCACGCCCUGCUCAUCCACUCUCAUACCCCUGUGCACUUACUGUAGGCUAGGUGGGAUGAACCCCGAUCGCAAGGUUAGGGUUUUGAAAGCCUUGUCUAUGUUUUACUACAAACGAUUCAGUUAUAGAAUGUUACAUUAGCGUUUAACGCUAUAAAUACAACUUUCAGCAACGGAUCUCUUGGCUCUCGCAUCGAUGAAGAACGCAGCGAAAUGCGAUAAGUAGUGUGAAUUGCAGAAUUCAGUGAAUCAUCGAAUCUUUGAACGCACAUUGCGCCCGCCAGUAUUCUGGCGGGCAUGCCUGUCUGAGCGUCAUUUCAACCCUCAUGCCCCUAGGGCGUGGUGUUGGGGAUCGGCCAGCGCCCGCGAGGGACGGCCGGCCCCUAAAUCUAGUGGCGGACCCGUCGCGGCCUCCCCUGCGAAGUAGCGAUAUUCCGCAUAGGAGAGCGACGAGCCCCUGCCGUUAAACCCCCAACUUUCUCAGGUUGACCUCAGAUCAGGUAGGAAUACCCGCUGAACUUAAGCAUAUCAAUAAG